rnacentral:rRNA from 1 species
CACGUAGGGCGCAAGCGUUGUCCGGAAUUAUUGGGCGUAAAGAGCUCGUAGGCGGUCUGUUGCGUCCGCUGUGAAAACUCGGGGCUUAACCCCGAGCCUGCAGUGGAUACGGGCAGACUAGAGGUAGGUAGGGGAGAAUGGAAUUCCCGGUGUAGCGGUGAAAUGCGCAGAUAUCGGGAGGAACACCGGUGGCGAAGGCGGUUCCCUGGGCCUUACCUGACGCUGAGGAGCGAAAGCGUGGGGAGCGAACGGG